UACGUAGGUGGCAAGCGUUAUCCGGAAUUAUUGGGCGUAAAGAGCGCGCAGGUGGUUGAUUAAGUCUGAUGUGAAAGCCCACGGGCUUAACCGUGGAGGGUCAUUGGAAACUGGUCGACUUGAGUGCAGAAGAGGGAAGUGGAAUUCCAUGUGUAGCGGUGAAAUGCGUAGAGAUAUGGAGGAACACCAGUGGCUAAGGCGGCUUCCUGGUCUGUAACUGACACUGAGGCGCGAAAGCGUGGGGAGCAAACAGGAUUAGAUACCCGGGUA
rnacentral:rRNA from 1 species